GAUGAAGAACGAGCGAAAUGCGAUACGUAAUGUGAAUUGCAGAAUUCAGUGAAUCAUCGAAUCUUUGAACGCAUAUUGCGCUCUCUGGUAUUCCGGAGAGCAUGCUUGUUUGAGUAUCAGUAAACACCUCAACUUCCAUAUCUUUUUUGAAAUGGGAGUUGGACUUGAGUGAUCCCAACGCUUUUCCUCACCGAAAAGUGGCGGGUUACUUGAAAUGCAGGUGCAGCUGGACUUUUCUCUGAGCUAUAAGCAUAUCUAUUUAGUCUGCCUAAAAAACAGAUUAUUACCUUUGCUGCAGCUAACAUAAAGGAGAUUAGUUCUUGUGCUGACUGAUGCAGGAUUCACAAAGACAGGCUUCGGCCGACUUUGUAAACUCGAUCUCAAAUCAAGUAAGACUACCCGCUGAACUUAAGCAUAUCAAUAAGCGGAGG
rnacentral:misc_RNA from 1 species